rnacentral:rRNA from 1 species
UACGUAGGGGGCGAGCGUUGUCCGGAGUUACUGGGCGUAAAGCGCACGUAGGCGGCUUUGUAAGUUAGAGGUGAAAGCCCGGGGCUCAACUCCGGAAUUGCCUUUAAGACUGCAUCGCUAGAAUUGUGGAGAGGUAAGUGGAAUUCCGAGUGUAGAGGUGAAAUUCGUAGAUAUUCGGAAGAACACCAGUGGCGAAGGCGACUUACUGGACACAUAUUGACGCUGAGGUGCGAAAGCGUGGG